AGGCCCCCCCCCCCCUUUUUUUUUUAGGGGUGUAUGUCGAGAGCCGGCAGAUGGGRRCWWRCWCUCCUGAUGUKAGCGGACGGACGGGUGAGUAACACGUGGGUAACCUGCCUGUAAGACUGGGAUAACUCCGGGAAACCGGGGCUAAUACCGGAUGCUUGUUUGAACCGCAUGGUUCAAACAUAAAAGGUGGCUUCGGCUACCACUUACAGAUGGACCCGCGGCGCAUUAGCUAGUUGGUGAGGUAACGGCUCACCAAGGCAACGAUGCGUAGCCGACCUGAGAGGGUGAUCGGCCACACUGGGACUGAGACACGGCCCAGACUCCUACGGGAGGCAGCAGUAGGGAAUCUUCCGCAAUGGACGAAAGUCUGACGGAGCAACGCCGCGUGAGUGAUGAAGGUUUUCGGAUCGUAAAGCUCUGUUGUUAGGGAAGAACAAGUACCGUUCGAAUAGGGCGGUACCUUGACGGUACCUAACCAAGAAAGCCACGGCUAACUACGUGCCAGCAGCCGCGGUAAUACGUAGGUGGCAAGCGUUGUCCGGAAUUAUUGGGCGUAAAGGGCUCGCAGGCGGUUUCUYMMSCUCUGAUGUGAWAGCMYUACCRGCUCARYCKGGGAGGGUMWUUGGAAACUGGA
rnacentral:rRNA from 1 species